rnacentral:tRNA from 1 species
GCCCGGUUGGUGGAACUGGUAGACACGCAGGCUUGAGGAGUCUGUGCCCUUCGGGGCGUGCCGGUUCAACUCCGGCAUCGGGCA